rnacentral:tRNA from 1 species
GUGCCUAUAGCUCAAUUGGCAGAGCACUCGGUUGUGGUCCGAGCGGUUACCGGUUCAAGCCCGGUUAGGCACC